GACGAACGCUGGCGGCGUGCUUAACACAUGCAAGUCGAACGGAAAGGCCUGCUUUCCCUUGUGGAUUGCGGGUACUCGAGUGGCGAACGGGUGAGUAACACGUGAGUGAUCUGCCCCCAACUUGGGUAUAAGCCUGGGAAACUGGGUCUAAUUCCCGAUAGGACUGCAGGGUGGUGCCUGUGGUGGAAAACGAUUUUCUAGUGGUUGGGGAUGAGCUCGCGGCCUAUCAGCUUGUUGGUGGGGUAAUGGCCUACCAAGGCGGCGACGGGUAGCCGGCCUGAGAGGGUGGACGGCCAAAUUGGGACUGAGAUACGGCGCAGAGUCCUACGGGAGGCAGCAGUGGGGAAUAUUGCACAAUGGGCGGAAGCCUGAUGCAGCGACGCCGCGUGGGGGAUGACGGCCUUCGGGUUGUAAACUCCUUUCGACCGCGAGGAAGCCACCUGGUUGGAAGGGUGGUGACGGUAGUGGUAGAAGAAGCACCGGCUAACUACGUG
rnacentral:rRNA from 1 species